GUCGAGCGGCAAGUUUGGUAGUAAUACUUGACCUAGAGCGGCGCACGGGUGCGUAACGCGUAUGCAACCUACCUUUUACUGGGGGAUAGCCCGGAGAAAUCUGGAUUAAUACCCCAUAGUACCUAAGAAUCGAUUGGUUUUUAGUUUAAAGAUUUAUCGGUAAAAGAUGGGCAUGCGUCUGAUUAGCUAGUUGGCGGGGUAACGGCCCACCAAGGCGACGAUCAGUAGGGGUUCUGAGAGGAAGGUCCCCCACACUGGCACUGAGAUACGGGCCAGACUCCUACGGGAGGCAGCAGUAGGGAAUAUUGGGCAAUGGUCGCAAGACUGACCCAGCCAUGCCGCGUGCAGGAAGACGGCCCUCUGGGUUGUAAACUGCUUUUAUCUGGGAAGAAAAAGUCCAUGCGUGGAAAAUUGCCGGUACCAGAUGAAUAAGCACCGGCUAACUCCGUGCCAGCAGCCGCGGUAAUACGGAGGGUGCAAGCGUUGUCCGGAUUUAUUGGGUUUAAAGGGUGCGUAGGCGGCUGAAUAAGUCAGCGGUGAAAGACUUCGGCUUAACCGGAGCAGUGCCGUUGAUACUGUUUAGCUUGAGUGUUGGAGGGGUACAUGGAAUUGAUGGUGUAGCGGUGAAAUGCAUAGAUACCAUCAGGAACACCGAUAGCGAAGGCAUUGUACUGGCCAACAACUGACGCUGAGGCACGAAAGUGUGGGGAUCGAACAGGAUUAGAUACCCUGGUAGUCCACACUGUAAACGAUGAUUACUCGCUGUUAUGCUGUAUAGUGUAGCGGCCAAGCGAAAGCGUUAAGUAAUCCACCUG
rnacentral:rRNA from 1 species